AUGGGCGCAGCAGGCGAGAAACCUUGCCAAUGUGCGAAAGCACGACAAGGUUAAUCCGAGUGUCUCCUGCUAAAGGAGUCUUUGNUCAGUUGUAGAAUCACUGGUGAAUAAGGGGUGGGCAAGUUCUGGUGUCAGCCGCCGCGGUAAAACCAGCACCUCGAGUGGUCAGGAGGUUUAUUGGGCCUAAAGCAUCCGUAGCCGGUUGCAUAAGUUUUCGGUUAAAUCUAUGCGCUUAACGUAUAGGCCGCCGAAAAUACUGUGCAGCUAGGGAGUGGGAGAGGUACACGGUACUCGAUAGGAAGGGGUAAAAUCCUUUGAUCUAUUGAAGACCACCUGUGGCGAAGGCGGUGUACCAGAACACGUUUGACGGUGAGGGAUGAAAGCUGGGGGAGCAAACCGGAUUAGAUACCCGGGUAGUCCCAGCUGUAAACGAUGCAGACUCGGUGAUGCAUUGGCUUGUGGCCAAUGCAGUGCCGCAGGGAAGCCGUUAAGUCUGCCGCCUGGGAAGUACGUACGCAAGUAUGAACUUAAAGGAAUUGGCGGGGGAGCACCACAAGGAUGAAGCCUGCGGUUCAAUUGGAUCA
rnacentral:rRNA from 1 species